rnacentral:rRNA from 1 species
AGUCAAUAGAUACCCAGGUAGUCCUAGCCGUAAACGAUACUCGCUAGGUGUCGGCCACGGUGCGACCGUUGUCGGUGCCGUAGGGAAAGCCGUGAAGCGAGCCACCUGGGAAGUACGGCCGCAAGGCUGAAACUUAAAGGAAUUGGCGGGGGAGCACCACAACGGGUGGAGCUUGCGGUUUAAAUUGGAUUCAACGCCGGAAAUCUUACCGGGACCGACAGCAAUAUGAAGGCCAGGCUGAAGACUUUGCCGGAUUAGCUGAGAGGUGGUGCAUGGCCGUCGUCAGUUCGUACUGUGAAGCAUCCUGUUAAGUCAGGCAACGAGCGAGACCCACGCCCACAGUUGCCAGCGUACUCUCUGGAGUGACGGGUACACUGUGGGGACCGCCGCUGCUAAAGCGGAGGAAGGAAUGGGCAACGGUAGGUCAGUAUGCCCCGAAUAUCCCGAGCUACACGCGAGCUACAAUGGUUGGUACAAUGGGUAUCUACCCCGAAAGGGUACGGGAAUCUCCUAAAACCAAUCUUAGUUCGGAUUGAGGGCUGCAACUCGCCCUC